GACUUAGGCUAUAACAAUUGUAUGUUAACAGUUAUAUAGCGUAAGUGGCAUAGGGGUUUUCUGCAGGUGUUCAUACAAAGACGUCUAUUGAUUCCCAGAAAUUGUCAUCUGUCGUUCUCUCACUUAUUAACACGUUUCGUCCUUAGUUUCUCGCUAACGACAUCGAGACUUCUUUAAUAUAUAGGUUCAAAUUUGUCCCGUAAUUAUUAGUUAACGUCAAGCGCGCACAUAAUGAUGCCAUCACGCUCAAAACUUUCUAUUAAAAAAAAUCGGGUCGCGAGCUUAAAAUCAACAUUUUAAACCAAACUUGUAUUAAACCACCACCACCAAUGUACAAUAACUUCAAGGUGGAACCGGGGAAAACAAACGUGGUAAACAAAGCGGUGGUGAAUUCGUGCCAAAUGGAUUCGGCUUCCCAAAUAUUGAUCGACGACACUUUAAGUGUCAUCACAAUCAAUUCUGAUGAUCUAACGAUUGCGUAAGUAUACAAAAAAUUUUAUAUUUGAUAUUUUUGUGUAUGUACGUUAAAAAAGUAAUUGUUUUUCUUUGUUUUUUUACAGAACAGGAAAUUUGGGUGACAAUUUUGAGCUAGACACGCUCAUGGCACAGCUGGAAGGGAAUCCUGCUGCAGACUUUCUUUUUGCUUCAGCUCGGAUAAUCUCAACACCCCAACUAUCUGAGCCGAUGCGAUCCCCUACACCGCCGCCACCACCAAUAGAACCAUCAAUCGAAACAAUGGAGCCCUCAGUCAUAAAUAAAAAAGGCCAAAAAUGACCACAUGGCUACGACAAAGCAGGGAUGGCUCAGGGAGUGGCCACAAAAAAUCUCAAUCUUAUUCAGAUUGACCUGGGAGAAAGGGAAUUCCGCCCGGAAAGAGGCUGGAGAAAGAGGUGCAAUUCAUUGAA